GACUCAGGACAGGGCUCCUCAGAAUCAACAGACACGAGACCCAAGGAUUCCACCUCACCUGGGGACGCGAUGUUGCAGCCCUGGCAUAUUUGGGCCUCUUCUGGCUGCCCUGGGCCUGGCCUCUCUGUGUCUGGACCUGAGUGCAGUCAGGUCCCCACAGCCUUCAAGUCUUAAAGACACACAGACCACAAAAGAAAACUUCAUUUUCCCCGGAGGACCAAGACACUGGAAACCUGGCCAGGAGCUGCCCCCAACCCUCAGCUGAAGCUUCCAGGGGCUCCAUAACAUCCCAUCCCAACCCUGGAAAGAGCCAGAGGUGAUGGAACUCCAUCUCCCCAUCCCCCACCUGUCCUACAGGUUAGUAUGGGGAUGGUAUUUUCUGAAAUGAACAAAAAAAUGAAAGACGUGAUGAAAUGAAUGUGAGUGCAUUUGAGGGGGACGAUGUUUGAAACAGGGGACAUAUAUGCCAAAGAUCCUCUUCAGGGCCAGGAGAUUCCAGGUUCAUCAAGGUCAUGUUGUCCAUCCCCAGGCUUCAGACUAUCCUCAAAAAGUUCGGGUAAGGCAGCGCUGAAGGGAAGUUCCAGGGACCUUGCUUUCUCCACUCCAGUCCCCAAUAUUCAGUCAACAUCUCUUGGCUGGCUGGGGCUGAUUAUUAUAAAGUACAACCUUUGUGAGAGGGAAGACUGACGUUCAAAGAAGUGAAGCAACUCACCCAGCGAAUAAGUGAGUAGAACAAGGGCUAACACCCAAGUCUU